GUCACGGGAGUACACAGGCUACAUGUUACUGUAGGGUCAUGGGAGUACACAGGCGACGUUACUCUAGGGUCACAGUGUAAUUGUAGGGUCACGGGAGUACACAGGCUGUAUGUUACUGUAGGGUCAUGGGAGUACACAGGCAACAUUACUCUAGGGUCACAGUGUAAUUGUAGGGUCACGGGAGUACGCAGGCGACAUGUUACUGUAGGGUCACAGUGUUAUUGUAGGCUCAUGGCUACAAGUACACAGGCUGCAUGUUAUUGUAGGGUCACACUGUUAUUGUAGGGUUGUGGGGACUACAUGGGCUGCGUGUUAUCAUAGGGUCACUGGUGUUAUUGUAGGGUCAUAGGACAGGCAUGGGCUGUGUUAUUGUAGGGUACAAUGCUGUCUUAGGGUCUCAGCAACUACACAGACUACUGCUAUUUUGGGGUCCCAGUGUUAUUGUAGGGUCUCCAAGAGGUCCCAGUUUUACAAUAGGGUCCCAGGGACUGGAGAAGUUGUGUGUUAUUGCAGGGCCCCCAGGAUGCCCAGGCUGUGUAUUAUUGUAGGGUCUCCUUCACUCAGAGUUGUGACAGAAGCACUGCGCUGGUGCGGUGGGCUUAGCUGGGCUCCCGAGCUGUUCGCACAGGCUGUUAUUGUAGGGUCACUUGAGGAUGCUGCUGUGCCAUUGUAGGAUCAUGACAUUAUUGUUGGCUUGUUGGCCACCACUGUUGUGACCCUGCCAUAAGACAGUGGUGUGCACUGGGGUGUUAUUGUAGGCUCUCCCUGGACUGAGAGGAAAUGCACUGGUGGGUCUCCACUGGGUGCUGUUUAGGACAGUGAAGACAUGGAGACUUGGGCCAGGCAUGCUAGCAUGUCAUUGUAGGGUCUCCCAGGGCCCUGGGUUGUUAUUGUCAGCCUUCCCUGAGGUUUUAUGUUAUGGGAGAGGCUCCCCUAUGCUAGUUUAUUUUCAUAGGGUCUCCCCAGGGAUAGUUUCUUAUCAUACAGUCUCCCCACAGUAGUUUGUUACUGCAGGGUCUCCCUGUAGUGGUUUGUUAUUGCAGGGUCCCCUGGUGCUGGUUUGUUAUUGCAGGGUCUCCCCAUGCAGGUUUGUUAUUGCAGGGUCCCCUGGUGCUGGUUUGUUAUUGCAGGGUCUCCCCAUGCAGGUUUGUUAUUGCAGGGUCCCCUGGUGCUGGUUUGUUAUUGCAGGGUCUCCCCAUGCAGGUUUGUUAUUGCAGGGUCUCCCCAUGUAGGUUUGUUAUUGCAGGGUCUCCCCAUGUAGGUUUGUUAUUGCAGGGUCUCCCCAUGCAGGUUUGUUAUUGCAGGGUCCCCUGGUGCUGGUUUGUUAUUGCAGGGUCUCCCAGCGCUGGCUGCUGGGGCUGCCCCAGCCCCCCGGGGUGCUGAGCGCAGGCAGGCUCUGCUCACCCUUCUGGCCUGCCUUGGCGAGCACAGCGCUGGGGACAGGGCUGGGGUGUCCCCAAGGGCGCUGUCCUGCAUGGGGACACUGCACCCACCUGGGGCAGGGGGGUGCCAGGGCAAGGUUUGGGGUGCCAGGCAUGGGGUGCUGGGC
ensembl:lncRNA